rnacentral:rRNA from 1 species
UACGUAGGGUGCGAGCGUUAAUCGGAAUUACUGGGCGUAAAGCGUGCGCAGGCGGAUUUGUAAGCCAGAUGUGGAAUCCCCGGGCUCAACCUGGGAAUGGCAUUUGGGACUGCAAGGCUGGAGUGUGGCAGAGGGGACUAGAAUUCCUGGUGUAGCAGUGAAAUGCGUAGAUAUCAGGAGGAAUACCGAUGGCGAAGGCAGGUCCCUGGGCUAACACUGACGCUCAUGCACGAAAGCGUGGGGAGCAAACAGG